GACGAACGCUGGCGGCGUGCUUAACACAUGCAAGUCGAACGGAAAGUCCGGCUUUCCCUUGGCGAUUGCGGGUGCUCGAGUGGCGAACGGGUGAGUAACACGUAAGUGAUCUGCCCCCAACUUGGGUAUAAGCCUGGGAAACUGGGUCUAAUUCCCGAUAGCACUGCAGUGUGGUGCCUGUGGUGGAAAACGAUUUUCUAGUGGUUGGGGAUGAACUCGCGGCCUAUCAGCUUGUUGGUGGGGUAAUUGCCUACCAAGGCGGCGACGGCUAGCCGGCGUGAGACGGUGGACCGGGACAUUGGGACUGAGCUACGGCCCAGGGUCAGAGGCGAGGCAGCAGUGGGGACUAGUGGACGAUGGGCGGAAGCCUGAUGCAGGGACGCAGGGUGGAGGCUGACGGGCUUCGGGUGGUAUACUCCUUUCGACGGCGAGGAAGACACCUGGUUGGGAGGGUGGUGACGGUAGUGGUAGAAGAAGCACCGGCUAACUACGUG
rnacentral:rRNA from 1 species